GCCUUUGUGGUGUAGUGGUCAGCACGCUCGGCGCGUAUCCGAAAGGUCCGUGGUUCGAAUCCCGGCGAUGGAA
rnacentral:tRNA from 1 species